UACGGAGGGAGCUAGCGUUGUUCGGAAUUACUGGGCGUAAAGCGCACGUAGGCGGCUUUGUAAGUUAGAGGUGAAAGCCCGGAGCUCAACUCCGGAACUGCCUUUAAGACUGCAUCGCUUGAAUCCAGGAGAGGUGAGUGGAAUUCCGAGUGUAGAGGUGAAAUUCGUAGAUAUUCGGAAGAACACCAGUAGCGAAGGCGGCUCACUGGACUGGUAUUGACGCUGAGGUGCGAAAGCGUGGGGAGCAAACAGG
rnacentral:rRNA from 1 species